GUGCCAGCAGCCGCGGUAAUACGUAGGUGGCGAACGUUGUCCGGAUUUACUGGGCGUAAAGCGCGCGCAGGCGGACCGAUAAGUGAGAGGUGAAAUCUCCCGGCUCAACUGGGAGGGGCCCUUUCAUACUGCCGGUCUUGAGAUGCCUAGAGGAGAGUGGAAUUCCCGGUGUAGUGGUGGAAUGCGUAGAUAUCGGGAGGAACACCAGUGGCGAAAGCGGCUCUCUGGGGGCGAUCUGACGCUGAGGCGCGAAAGCGUGGGGAGCAAACCGGAUUAGAUACCCUCGUAGUCC
rnacentral:rRNA from 1 species